UGUUUGUUUUGUAAUUAUAGCAUCUUAAUAUUCAUUGAUUAUACAUGGUAGCAAUAACUUUUUCUUUUUAAGUCAGUGUGUUGAAAUGUGAAGUAUAUUUACCAGAGAAACGUGUGUACCAGUGGGGGCAAGAAAGAAAUAGUGAAAGAAGUUUUGCAAUCUAAGCAAGCAGAGGAAGUGAAUGUUGCAAUGAUCUGCAUGUCUUUGAGUACCAGUAAGUGAGAAACCCAGUAAUCUAAAAGGCAGGUGGGUAGAUAUUUUUCUUUGCUGUUUAGCAGUUACUGAAAAGUCAGCAUAAAUAGCCCCUCAUCUCUUGUUCUCUUUAUAUAUCAUGGUUUUUCUCUUUUCUGCACGAAGCUCAGGGAUCUAGAACCUUGAAAGGUUGCAACUGGCUGAUACCCACUGAAAAGUAACUUGCAUGUUUGCAAGCAGCCCCUACUGUGUCAUUCUGCUGACUUUUUUUUUUUUUUUUUUUUUUCCCCUGAAAAAGUGCUGCAAGAGAUCACUGAAAGAGUCUCAAUUGGAAUUUUCUGGUUUUCCAGUGGAAAUGGGAAGGCAGUGUAACAGAGGGGAAAAAGUCAAUUAAAAGGAAAGGGAACACUUGAAACUUCUGCAUAAUUAAUCUACCUUGCCAUGAAACUCUUCUACAGAAAACAAAAAACAAAAAAACAACCAUAGGUAGCUUAUGGAAAAGUUCUUCAGAAACUUCUAAGCAUGAUGUCAUUGCCAGUGGCAUGUACCCUGCACAAGUGACGAAACAGGAAACUGGAAGAGAAAGAAGAGGGAAGAAGAAAAGUCUACCAUGAAGAACUUGCUAUCUCAGCAGGAAUUGCAGAGUCAGGAAUGGAAUCAAAAGGUGGAUGACCAAUCAAGCAGAUGUUACUCAACACUUCUUGAGAACUGGCAAAUAAUCAGAAGAAAAAUACAGCUGGAAUGCAAUCUAACAAAGGAUCAACUCCAAUGUUUCAGAUCAGCAGGAUCUGUUUAAUGUGUCAGCUUAAUUCCUCAAGCAUUAACCUGCAGAAUGUUCUCACUAUGCUUGCUGGUCUUCGUGGCACAUUCUACAGGAAUGUUUUCUGCAGUGAUCCUGCAUACAGGCAGCAAGCUUAAAGCAAAUGGCCGAGCCCUUUCCCCAAGCUACAGAAGAUAUUGCAGAAGUGUGCCCUGUUUGCUCUCAGACAGGAAGCAUCCACUGAGACAGAACAGACUCUAUGGUAGAUUCAGUUGGUUCUGUGCCUGAACAGUUUGGACUUGGUCAAUUGAAGAACUUCAGUAUGUUGACAGUCUGUGCGUUACCCACCAGAGGGAGCCAAAGCCAAGAACCGUCGGACUUUGCCUUUCAAUUUUCAGAGCUUCUCUACUGAAAGUCAUCUCCACCACUUCACAGUGCUUUUGAUUCAGGCCUCUGUCUUCAGGUUUUUGAUCAGACUGGCUCAUGGCAGUAGCUGCAUGAAAUACACAUUUCCUCAUCAGAUACUCCAAAACACAGGAAUUGUUCCAUACUUAUAUCAAGGAAUUCAGCCGGAGAUUAUAUUCUGUGUGCAUACAGAAAAGAAACUGUGAACAUUCAACACUAGCAUAAGCAAUGUACCCACUAAGCUGAUAUGCCAAGAUUCUGUGGCCAGUGUUCAAGCAAGCAGCUGAGAAUUAAUGAGUACUCCCUUGUGGUCUCCAGACAUCACACAAGACCAAUGGACUCCACCUGUUUUUUCAUCUGUAACCUAUAAGUUUUCUCCAUUGGCCAGACAAUCCUGGGUGAACUGAAGGUUUAAAAAUGGUUGAAAAAUUAACCAGAUUUGUACCUCUUGGCAAUUACUGAUUAUUCUGGUAGAUUUAUUUUUGGAGUCAUGAAAGCAGGCAAACUGAAUAUGGUUGUGUUUUGAUAUUAUGUGUAUGGCACACUAUAAUCAUCAGUUCAAAGUCCUCUACGGAGCAACUCACUCAGGAAAAAAAAAACUUUGUUCUGCAUCAUCUUUGAGAUCAAAUUUUGAACUGAAAAACUGUUCCAAGCUUUCAAAAGUGCAUAGCAUGCUUAUAUGAAGACACACCUUGUGGCUCAAUGGAACAUCAUCAGCUAAUGCAUCAAAGUACCCUCUCCACAACAAACAGGGCCUGCUGCAGCACAGCCAGGAGAAUUAACGUGUGCUCAGAGGAUUAAAGUUUUGGAUUCAUUUGAGGGCUGGAAUGAAGUUGCUCUGGGUUUUGAUCAUUGUGAUCAGCCAACUCCAACUACUGGAAGGAGGAGCAAAAGCAUCCCUGUCUGCAGGCUUUUUAGAUAGUUGCUGAAGUCCGAGAACUGUGGUGCUGUGCCUAAAUCUGGGUGUGGCCACACACCAAAAAAUACCAUUGAAGAAAAAGCAAAGCUAAUGUCCCAGAGAAAAAUCAAACUUAUUUCAGCUCUUUAGAGAUCAUGAUGAAAGUCUCGUCACAUUUGCAAUUGCUGUUCCCUGAGAUGUCUACAUCCCCUCUGAAGGGAUCAUUCUGCUACUUCUGGGCUUCUAUAGACAGUGGCAAAAAUAUAUAUAAAAAAAAACCUUAAUAAAGACCUACAGAACCCCAACAAAACCCCCUGUGAAUAUCCAGUACUGCUUACACGCACCACAAGUCUGUCAAAUUCAGAAAUUGACUCCAAAGUGUAAAGUCACAAAGACAAUAGUUUAAUAUCAACCAAAAAAAAGCUUAAGUUAGUGGUAUUUUCUUUCUUGAAAUAACAUACUGUCAUACGAGAGUCACUGAAGAGGUCUGCUUUUAGCUCGGAAGACUUUUACAGUUACAGCCGAAUUAAAAACCCCUAUUUCUAAACGCGUGAUGGUAACACAAAAACCGGAAACUUAAGACAUGGGAUGAAGAACAAACGCAGUUGUUAAGAUGACAGCAGUUAGGUGAGGCAUUUCACUGCCUUCUCCCUAGCGUGGAAAGAAGUUCUCCAGUAUCUUUCCCACCACCAUUAUUUCCAGAUUCACAAGUGGUUGUUUUUAAAAUACUACCGGGGGUCAAAUUGCAAUCAAGCGCCGUAUGCUUGUAAUGUCUUCUGUGAAGGUCUGAAGCCACCCUGUUUCAACUAUUUGGUUACUCAGUGCAGAAAGUUAAAGAUCACAGAAGGUAUAACAGCUUUUAAUACUCCAUUAAUAUUAUAGAUUAAAAAUUAUUGCAUAGUCUUAUGCAUCUCCUAAAACAGCAUUCUCUGGAAAUUAAACAUUUCAAUAUAAAAGGAGCAACUCUUUAAAACACGAAUUGCAUUCACUACCUCGAUCUUCUAUCCUUUUUUGAUUUGUCAGUACAUUUGUCCAUAGUUUUCUCGUUAUCUCCUCUGCACUUGGGGCAAUACCAUUUCCCCUUAGGUUUGUAGGUGAGUCCGACACACGAGAAGUGGAACCACUCGAUAGGACACUGUUCGUUAUCACAUCCUAUCAUUUCGCCGUAGGACACUUGGUUGCAUAAGCAGUAAGUGGGUUCAUUGGGAUCAAUUGCAAAUUCUACGGGUGAAACCUCCCUCUCCUGUUUGGCUUUGGAGCGUUUUUUCUUCUUGGAAGAUUUCGAUCUUUUCUCCUUAGGCGGCUGAUCGUCGCAGUCAUCGAUGCCGUUUGCUAUGUGGCACAGGUCGCGGCUCUCACUGGUGCGCUGCCGACGAGGUCUACGUGAAGAUCUCUCUGGCUGGCAGGAUUCCAUCUUUGCCUUUUCUAGAGGCUUGUCGUUUUCAGACAGAUCUUGAAAACACUGAGAGUGUGUUUCCAUCUGUCGGGCUCUAUUCUCUACCAGUUCCAGCAUCUGAGUAACUAUUUGAAUUUUUUCAUCUCCCAGUUCUUGACUGUUGAUUAAAGCACGCUGGAGAUGCUGCUGCAGGCGUUUCUUCUGAACAGGAUCGUUCUCGGACUUGUAUUUCUCAUAGACAUCAUCUAUUUCUUUUAAAGCUUCUGCAAAGAUAACGUAACACAAAUAAUUAGAUAGAAGGUACAUUCCUGUAUUUUCUUGAGCACGUAUAAACCAAUGAGAAAUAGUAUGAGUUUUAAUUAGUGGGCUUCAUCAGGUGUUUUAUUCAAGUUACACCUGAGCACCACUUCAGUGUUUAAGGUGGUAAUCUGUUGCAUGAAAAGUUUCUCAAGUUCUCAACAAAAAGCAAGAUAAUUUUGACUGCUGGAAAAAGGAAAGGGUAAGACCAGAAAGGUGACCAGUGCUGCCAAAGUGAAGUUAGUCCAAAUACUAACUUAGCAUCUGACAAAGCAGGAAUUUUUGCUGAGAUUCCUUAUUAGGGUAGUUACAAAGCCCUGGCCUAGAAACCAAAGCUUACCAUACUAUAGGAAGAAGUUUAGAAUUCACUAUCAUCACACGUAAUUCAUGUAGCCAUCAUAUUACACUGCAGAAUUAGGGUAUGAAGGUCCUCUGCCUCCUCCUUACACACGUGAAGGUUUGGCAUUACCUUUUCAACAGCUCUUUGUUGUAACUAAGUACGACAGUGGAAGUGACACACUAGCAGGUGUAGAGUCAGGAUUUAAAACAACUUAAACCACUGCAAGUGGUGCUCACUGUAUGAAGAAGUUACAGCAAGUUGUGUGAGGCAGAACUUUUCAGAAUAGGUGACCUGCAGCUUAAUGCAUCACAGGAUGUUUUCAAGCUGCUGGUAGCAAGCGCUUCACGGUUCCACUCCCAGGCUUUUUGCCUUUUUUUUUUUUUUGCA